rnacentral:lncRNA from 1 species
CCAGAUCUUCCUAUCUAGGGUUAUGUCCUUAGUGAGCUGUAACUGCUUCAUGUCCCGCCUAAUCACCUCUCCCCAAUACUUCUUCGGCCUACCCCUACCCCGCCUAAAACCAUCCAAAGCUAGCCUCUUACACCUACGAACCGGGGCAUCCAUGCCCCUCCUCAUCACGUGUCCGAACCAUCUCAAUCGGACUUCCUGUAUCUUAUUCUCCACUGGAGUCACACCAACCUUCUCCCUGAU